rnacentral:rRNA from 1 species
UACGUAGGGUGCAAGCGUUAAUCGGAAUUACUGGGCGUAAAGCGUGCGCAGGCGGCUUGCUACGUCGUGCGUGAAACACCCCGGCUCAACUGGGGAGGGUCGUGCGAUACGGGCAGGCUGGAGGCCAGUAGGGGGAUGCGGAAUUCCGGGUGUAGUGGUGGAAUGCGUAGAGAUCCGGAGGAACACCAGCGGCGAAGGCGGCAUCCUGGACUGGUACUGACGCUCAGGAGCGAAAGCGUGGGGAGCGAGCCGG